rnacentral:rRNA from 1 species
AGAGUUUGAUUCUGGCUCAGGAUGAACGCUGGCGGCGUGCCUAAGACAUGCAAGUCGAACGAGUCGCAAGACUAGUGGCGAACGGGUGAGGAACACGUGAGAAACCUGCCCUUUAGAUGGGGAUAACCUCGAGAAAUCGAGGCUAAUACCGAAUACGAUUGCUUUCCGGCAUCGGAGAGUAAUGAAAUCAUUUAUGGCUAAAGGAUGGUCUCGCGUCUGAUUAGUUAGUUGGCGGGGCAACGGCCCACCAAGACGAUGAUCAGUAGCUGGUCUGAGAGGAUGGACAGCCACACUGGGACUGAGAUACGGCCCAGACUCCUACGGGAGGCAGCAGUCGGGAAUAUUGCACAAUGGGCGAAAGCCUGAUGCAGCGACGCCGCGUGAAGGAUGAAGCGUUUCGGCGUGUAAACUUCUGUUAGAGGGGACGAUUAUGACGGUGCCCUCAGAGAAAGCACCGGCUAAAUAUGUGCCAGCAGCCGCGGUAAUACAUAUGGUGCAAGCGUUAUCCGGAUUUAUUGGGCGUAAAGCGCGCGUAGGCGGUUUGGUAAGUUAGAAGUUAAAUCCCUGGGCUCAACCCAGGUUCGCUUUUAAAACUGCCAAGCUAGAGUUUUGGAGAGGGAAGGGGAACUAACAGAGUAGCGGUGAAAUGCGUAGAUACUGUUAGGAACACCAGUGGCGAAGGCGCCUUCCUGGACAAUAACUGACGUUAAAGUGCGAAAGCGUGGGGAGCAAACAGGAUUAGAUACCCUGGUAGUCCACGCUGUAAACGAUGUACAUUAGGUGUAGGGGGUAUCGACCCCCUCUGUGCCGAAGCUAACGCGUUAAAUGUACCGCCUGGGGACUACGGCCGCAAGGCUAAAACUCAAAGAAAUUGACGGGGGCCCGCACAAGCAGUGGAUUAUGUGGUUCAAUUCGACGAUACCCGAAAAACCUUACCAGUACUUGACAUCCGUGGAAUUCUGCAGAAGUGUAGAAGUGCCCGCAAGGGAGCCGCGAGACAGGUGGUGCAUGGCUGUCGUCAGCUCGUGUCGUGAGAUGUUAGGUUAAGUCCUGCAACGAGCGCAACCCCCAUCGUAUGUUGCUACAUUAAGUUGAGCACUCAUGCGAGACUGCCCAUGGAAAGUGGGAGGAAGGUGGGGAUGACGUCAAGUCAUCAUGCCCCUUACGUUCUGGGCUACACACAUAAUACAAUGGGCGUUACAAAGAGUCGCAAGCUAGCAAUAGCAAGCUAAUCUCAAAAAAGCGCCCUCAGUUCGGAUUGUAGGCUGCAACUCGCCUACAUGAAGCUGGAAUUGCUAGUAAACGCAGAUCAGCAUGCUGCGUUGAAUACGUUCUCGGGCCUUGUACACACCGCCCGUCACACCAUGAAAGCUAGGAAUAUCCGAAGCCGUUGCGCUAACCGCAAGGAGGCAGGCGUCUAAGAUAGAAUUAGUGAUUGGGGUGAAGUCGG